rnacentral:rRNA from 1 species
CCUACGGGUGGCUGCAGUGAGGAAUUUUGCGCAAUGGCCGCAAGGCUGACGCAGCAACGCCGCGUGGGUGAUGAAGGCCUUCGGGUCGUAAAGCCCUUUCAGGUGGGAAGAAAGGUUUCAAGGAGAAACGCUUGGGAUUUGACGGUACCACCAGAGGAAGCACCGGCUAACUCCGUGCCAGCAGCCGCGGUAAUACGGAGGGUGCGAGCGUUCUUCGGAAUUACGUGGCGUAAAGCGCAAGUAGGAGGUGAAAGCCCUGGGCUUAACCUGGGAAGUGCAUUGGAAACUGCAUUUCUUGAGUACUGGAGAGGAAGGGGGAAUUCCCGGUGUAGAGGUGAAAUUCGUAGAGAUCGGGAGGAAUACCAGUGGCGUAGGCGCCCUUCUGGACGGUUACUGACGCUGAGACGCGAAAGCGUGGGGAGCAAACAGGAUUAGAUACCCUAGUAGUC